UGGGCAAUGAGCGAAAGCUUGACCCAGCAACACCGCGUGAGGGAAUAAGGCUUCGGGUUGUAAACCUCUUUUCUUAGGGAAGAAUAWUGACGGUACCCAAGGAAUAAGCCUCGGCUAACUACGUGCCAGCAGCCGCGGUAAUACGUAGGAGGCGAACGUUAUUCGGAUUUAUUGGGCGUAAAGAGAGYGUAGGCGGUUCCUUAAGUCAGAUGUGAAAUCUUCUGACUCAAUCAGAAARCAUCAUUUGAUACUGAGGGACUUGAGAGCAGCAGAGGGAAAUGGAAUUUCCAGUGUAGCGGUGAAAUGCGUAGAUAUUGGARAGAACACCAGUGGCGAAGGCGAUUUCCUAGGCUGUUUCUGACGCUGAGGUUCGAAAGCGUGGGGAGCGAAGAGGAUUAGAUACCCKCGUAGUCCACGCCCUAAACGRUGGACACUAGAUAUAGGACUGUCGACCCUUUCUGU
rnacentral:rRNA from 1 species